rnacentral:lncRNA from 1 species
UGAAGAGGAUGAUGAUGAUGAUGAUCCUCUUCUUCUCCUCCAUCUUCUCCUUCUUUUCUUCUUCUCUUUUCCUUUCUUUCCUUUCCUUCCUCUCUUCUUCCCCCUUUUCCUCUGCUACGAAUGGGGAGAGAGAGAGAGAGAGAGAGAGAGAGAGAGAGAGCAGUGAGAGAGAGUGUGAGGGAGAGAGAGAGAGAGAGAGAAAUACCCCUCUCUAAUACCCUCUCAU